GACGAACGCUGGCGGCGUGCUUAACACAUGCAAGUCGAACGGGCCCGCCCCUGUUUUUGGGGGUGGGUUGAGUGGCGAACGGGUGAGUAUCACGUGAGUAACCUGCCCCCUGCUCCUGGAUAACUGCUUGAAAGGGCGGCUAAUACGGGGUGUGCCGGCUGGUCCGCAUGGGCCUGGUCGGGAUAGUUUCAUCUUCGGGUGUUUCGGUGGGGGAUGGGCUCGCGGCCUAUCAGCUUGUUGGUGGGGUGAUGGCCCACCAAGGCGGUGACGGGUAGCCGGCCUGAGAGGGUGGGCGGCCACACUGGGACGGAGACACGGCCCAGACUCCUGCGGGAGGCAGCAGUGGGGGGGAUUGCACAAUGGGCGGAAGCCUGAUGCAGCGACGUCGCGUGAGGGAUGGAGGCCUUCGGGUUGUGAACCUCUUUCUCCGGUGGGGAAGGCCCUGUCCGUUGCGGCGGGGUUGACGGUAGCCGGGUAUGAAGCGCCGGCUAACUACGUG
rnacentral:rRNA from 1 species